rnacentral:rRNA from 1 species
AUUACCCAAUCCCGAUUCGGGGAGGUAGUGACAAUAAAUAACAAUACAGGGCCAACGGUCUUGUUAUUGGAAUGAGAACAAUUUAAAUAACUUAACGAGGAUCAAUUAGAGGGCAAGUCUGGUGCCAGCAGCCGCGGUAAUUCCAGCUCUAAUAGCGUAUAUUAAAGUUGUUGCAGUUAAAAAGCUCGUAGUCGGAUGUCGGGCUCGGGCAGGCUGUCGGCUUCGGUCGGACGGCAGGCUCGGGUCUUUCUGCCUGAGGAUCCCGUUGCACUUAAUUGUGGGGCGUGGGGACGCAGGCCGUUUACUUUGAAAAAAUUAGAGUGUUCAAAGCAGGCCUACGCUUGAAUACAUUAGCAUGGAAUAAUGGAAUAGGACUUUGGUGCUAUUUUGUUGGUUUAUGGGACCGAAGUAAUGAUUAACAGGGACAGUUGGGGCCGUUUAUAUUUCGUUGUCAGAGGUGAAAUUCUUGGAUUUACGAAAGAUAAACUUCUGCGAAAGCAUUCGGCAAGGAUGUUUUCAUUGAUCAAGAACGAAAGUUAGGGGAUCGAAGACGAUCAGAUACCGUCGUAGUCUUAACCAUAAACUAUGCCGACUAGGGAUCAGUGGAUGUCAAUUUGCGACUCCAUUGGCACCUUGUGAGAAAUCAAAGUUUUUGGGUUCCGGGGGGAGUAUGGUCGCAAGGCUGAAACUUAAAGGAAUUGACGGAAGGGCACCACCAGGAGUGGAGCCUGCGGCUUAAUUUGACUCAACACGGGGAAACUUACCAGGUCCAGACAUAGUAAGGAUUGACAGAUUGAAAGCUCUUUCUUGGU